rnacentral:rRNA from 1 species
AAUAUUGGUCAAUGGUUGCAACCCUGACCUAGCCAUGCCGUGAGUGUGAAGAAGGUCUUCGGACUGUAAAGCACUUUAAGUUGGGAGGAAGGGCCUUAGGUUAAUACCCUGAAGUUUUGACGUUACCAAUAGAAGAAGCUACGGCAAACUCUGUGUCAGCAGCCGCGGUAAUACAGAGGGUUCAAGCGUUAAUCGGAAUUACUGGGCGUAAAGCGCGCGUAGGUGGUUCAGUAAGAUGGGUGUGAAAUCCCCGGGCUUAACCUGGGAACUGCUUUCAUAACUGCUGAGCUAGAGUACGGUAGAGGGUAGUGGAAUUUCCUGUGUAGCGGUGAAAUGCGUAGAUAUAGGAAGGAACACCAGUGGCGAAGGCGACUACCUGGACUGAUACUGACACUGAGGUGCGAAAGCGUGGGGAGCAAAC